UGGGGAAUAUUCCGCAAUGGACGAAAGUCUGACGGAGCAACGCCGCGUGAGUGAUGAAGGUUUUCGGACUGUAAAGCUCUGUUGUUUAGGACGAAAGUGCCUGUUGCGAACAGUUACAGGUAUUGACGGUACUAAACGAGGAAGCCACGGCUAACUACGUGCCAGCAGCCGCCGUAAUACGUAGGUGGCAAGCGUUGUCCGGAAUUAUUGGGCGUAAAGAGCAUGUAGGCGGAGAUUUAAGUCUGUUGUGAGAAUGCGGGGCUCAACCCCGGAAUGCGAUGGAAACUGAAUUUCUUGAGUGCAGGAGAGGAAAGGGGAAUUCCCAGUGUAGCGGUGAAAUGCGUAGAUAUUGGGAGGAACACCAGUGGCGAAGGCGCCUUUCUGGACUGUGUCUGACGCUGAGAUGCGAAAGCCAGGGUAGCGAACGG
rnacentral:rRNA from 1 species